CUCCUCUUCAUCCUCGUCACUCCAGGGCUGCACCACAGGACUUAUGAGACCCACUGGCUUUGUGGCAGAUUGGACUGGUGGUAAACUCAUUGGAGGUUUUCUCACAAGGAAGCUCAAGGUAAUUGUUCCAUCUAAUGUUGAAAGACAUGCAUUUCAGUGUGUGCACAGCAGGGGCAGAGCCUGCCACAACCCACCAUCCGUGAAUCCAGUGUAUGCGUGAAGAAGAGCCCUAACAUCUGAAGAAGACUCAAGGAUGCAACAGCUAUUUUUUAAAAGAAAAAAUGCUUACAAACUUUGCUACAUUUUAAAUGUGAGGCAAUAAAUGGAUAGCUGACUGCUUGGGAACCACAUGUAUGCUGGGAGCAGGGUUGGCGCAAGAGACUGCAUCACCUGAGCCACCUCCCCACAGUCCUCUUCAUCUCCCCCUGCCUCUAUUCAGACCUUCUGUGGUUGAUGUGAUACUUGCUUUCAUUAGCUGUUGUGUAGUCUUACUCAUUCCUUUUGUUCAGUUAGUUUUAUUGGCAGUGUAUUCUGUUUUCACUAUGAUAUCGUACAGUGUUUUAGCCAUUGUUCCUUGCCUUGAGAAUCUUGCAUUGAAAACCAGGGUAAACAGAUUGUGAAAUACGUAAACAACUUAGCACAGCAUAAUCGAAAUGUCAAUUUGCUAUUUCCCCACUACAUUUCACUUAUGAAAAAAAUGAAU